UGUUUGAUGUUCUAACGUGGACCCGUGAUCCGGGUUGCGGACAGUGUCUGGUGGGUAGUUUGACUGGGGCGGUCUCCUCCUAAAGAGUAACGGAGGAGCACGAAGGUUGGCUAAUCCUGGUCGGACAUCAGGAGGUUAGUGCAAUGGCAUAAGCCAGCUUGACUGCGAGCGUGACGGCGCGAGCAGGUGCGAAAGCAGGUCAUAGUGAUCCGGUGGUUCUGAAUGGAAGGGCCAUCGCUCAACGGAUAAAAGGUACUCCGGGGAUAACAGGCUGAUACCGCCCAAGAGUUCAUAUCGACGGCGGUGUUUGGCACCUCGAUGUCGGCUCAUCACAUCCUGGGGCUGAAGUAGGUCCCAAGGGUAUGGCUGUUCGCCAUUUAAAGUGGUACGCGAGCUGGGUUUAGAACGUCGUGAGACAGUUCGGUCCCUAUCUGCCGUGGGCGCUGGAGAACUGAGGGGGGCUGCUCCUAGUACGAGAGGACCGGAGUGGACGCAUCACUGGUGUUCGGGUUGUCAUGCCAAUGGCACUGCCCGGUAGCUAAAUGCGGAAGAGAUAAGUGCUGAAAGCAUCUAAGCACGAAACUUGCCCCGAGAUGAGUUCUCCCUGACCCUUUAAGGGUCCUGAAGGAACGUUGAAGACGACGACGUUGAUAGGCCGGGUGUGUAAGCGCAGCGAUGCGUUGAGCUAACCGGUACUAAUGAACCGUGAGGCUUAA
rnacentral:rRNA from 1 species